rnacentral:rRNA from 1 species
UACAGAGGGGGCAAGCGUUGUUCGGAAUUACUGGGCGUAAAGGGCGGGUAGGCGGCCUGUUAAGUCGAACGUGAAAUCCCCGGGCUCAACCCGGGAACUGCGUCCGAUACUGGCAGGCUUGAAUCCGGGAGAGGGAUGCGGAAUUCCAGGUGUAGCGGUGAAAUGCGUAGAUAUCUGGAGGAACACCGGUGGCGAAGGCGGCAUCCUGGACCGGUAUUGACGCUGAGGCGCGAAAGCCAGGGGAGCAAACGGG